rnacentral:snRNA from 1 species
ACACUCGCCUGGUGCCGGGGCCUCGUCGAUCACCGAGGAUGAGCCUCCAGGGUGGGCAUUGCACUGCGCUCGCGUUGACCCCCGCCACUACCCCAACUGGGGCAGAUGGGGCAUGCAAAUUGCUC